AUGUAUGAUGAUGAUCAAGAGGAUGAUGAUAUUUCAUCUCAGCCGCUUAUGCCCUAUGUUGGCAUGGAAUUUGACUCUAUUGAGGAUGCCAAGGAAUUUUACAAUGAAUAUGCAUUCAAGAUGGGCUUUGGCACACGCAUUUGCGCUUCUAAAAAAGCCAAAAGAGAGGUCCUCCAACACUUAUCAAGAAGGUUUUCCAGUGUGUGCACGCAGGGAAGCCAGAAAGUAAGGGGGACAGUAGCACUGCUUCUGAAGGGAUCUCAAUGGGAGCAACAUCGUCUAGCAAACAGAAUUGGUUUGAAAUGGAUGUCGGCAGCAAGCGUCAAAAGAAUCGGCUGCUGCGACAUGAUUGCAAAGAUCACCUGA
rnacentral:rRNA from 1 species